UACGUAGGGUGCAGGCGUUAAUCGGAAUUACUGGGCGUAAAGCGUGCGCAGGCGGUUGUGCAAGACAGGUGUGAAAUCCCCGGGCUUAACCUGGGAACUGCACUUGUGACUGCACGGCUGGAGUACGGCAGAGGGGGAUGGAAUUCCGCGUGUAGCAGUGAAAUGCGUAGAUAUGCGGAGGAACACCGAUGGCGAAGGCAAUCCCCUGGGCCUGCACUGACGCUCAUGCACGAAAGCGUGGGGAGCAAACAGG
rnacentral:rRNA from 1 species